rnacentral:rRNA from 1 species
AGUUUGAUCAUGGCUCAGAUUGAACGCUGGCGGCAGGCCUAACACAUGCAAGUCGAGCGGUAGAGAGAAGCUUGCUUCUCUUGAGAGCGGCGGACGGGUGAGUAAUGCCUAGGAAUCUGCCUGGUAGUGGGGGAUAACGUUCGGAAACGGACGCUAAUACCGCAUACGUCCUACGGGAGAAAGCAGGGGACCUUCGGGCCUUGCGCUAUCAGAUGAGCCUAGGUCGGAUUAGCUAGUUGGUGAGGUAAUGGCUCACCAAGGCGACGAUCCGUAACUGGUCUGAGAGGAUGAUCAGUCACACUGGAACUGAGACACGGUCCAGACUCCUACGGGAGGCAGCAGUGGGGAAUAUUGGACAAUGGGCGAAAGCCUGAUCCAGCCAUGCCGCGUGUGUGAAGAAGGUCUUCGGAUUGUAAAGCACUUUAAGUUGGGAGGAAGGGUUGUAGAUUAAUACUCUGCAAUUUUGACGUUACCGACAGAAUAAGCACCGGCUAACUCUGUGCCAGCAGCCGCGGUAAUACAGAGGGUGCAAGCGUUAAUCGGAAUUACUGGGCGUAAAGCGCGCGUAGGUGGUUUGUUAAGUUGGAUGUGAAAUCCCCGGGCUCAACCUGGGAACUGCAUUCAAAACUGACUGACUAGAGUAUGGUAGAGGGUGGUGGAAUUUCCUGUGUAGCGGUGAAAUGCGUAGAUAUAGGUAGGAACACCAGUGGCGAAUGCGACCACCUGGACUAAUACUGACACUGAGGUGCG